UAAAUUUGCAAGUUUUAAUAUAUAUUACUUUUUAAAAAUAAAUCAUCUCGCGGUAUACCGCGGGUUAAAAUCUAGUUCAGUGUUUAUUAGGAAUAUGUGUUGUUAGUCUUUAUUA
rnacentral:sRNA from 1 species